GAACGUGGAUCUAUGUAAGGAGGGCUUUGAUCAAGAGACCAUGUGCCAAAAAUCAACUGGAAAAGACGUCCGAGACCGGAGGCGAGGAAUUGGAUGGUCAGAAACCAGGCUGUUGGUGCUGCUGAGGCUGUUGGUUUUCCUGCUUCACUGGUGGAGGAAGUGCAGAGCAAAUUGUGCAGCGGUGGACUUCACUACUUGGAGAACAUGAAUGGAAAGAACACGGGGAUCAUCUAAGCCUGGAUGACUAACUGAAGAGGAAUUGGAUUCAACCCCAGUCCCAGCGUCUACAGGCAAUCAUGGAGGAUAAAUGACUUCUGAAAGUUCUGCAGCAGUUGACUCAGUUCAAACAUACCGUUUCAAUACUGGCAUGUCUUUACAGGGGGCUCUGGAGGAAAAGAAGAGAGGAGAAACACGCAUCUGAUGACCAACCACAUUUUACAGCUCCAGAACAUUUCCUCUAAGCCAAACCUCCUCAAAAGGUCUCUGGAAAGAAGCACCGAAGUAGAUUCCCUAAAGACUGAAAGACCACAUCUAAAUAACAGUCAAUGGAGCACAUGUCUCGGUGUCAUGGCUGUGUAAUUAUCAGAAAAAAAUGGUG